CUCAAAUCACAAUUCUUAUCUCUCUUCCCCCCUCCAUCGUUUCAAGCCUGGAAGAGCCAUCAAGCUGGUACCAUCCUCCUCCUUUAUCUAUACAUAAAUGAGUUUUAAUAAUAGAAAAUUCACACAUACAUAUAUAUAUUUGUUUAUAUACUCUUAUAUGUACAUGUGUGUGUUUACAGGGCGUUGAUUUAUGCUGAUCUGUGAAGAAAUUAAGAGUGAGAAAAUGAAUAGAUGCGCAUAUCAGCAGAACAACAACGCCUUUGCUUCUCUUGGAGAUUUCAGGAUGAGGGGUUCUUCUAUUUCAGACGGCAUCGUUUGCCCUAAACCUCGUUGCGUUGGUCUCUUGAAUCCUUCAAAUUAU
rnacentral:lncRNA from 1 species